UAAGUACCGAAGUCCCUGAUUUCACACUGCCAAGAAAAGCGUCUAGCGAGGAACAAGGUGCCCGUACCGCAAACCGACACAGGUAGGCGAGGAGAGAAUCCUAAGGUGCGCGGGAUAACUCUUGCUAAGGAACUCGGCAAAAUGGCCCCGUAACUUCGGGAGAAGGGGCGCCUCGGUAGGGUUUAUAGCCCGAGGAGGCCGCAGUGAAAAGGCCCAAGCGACUGUUUAGCAAAAACACAGGUCUCUGCGAAGCCGCAAGGCGAAGUAUAGGGGCUGACGCCUGCCCGGUGCUGGAAGGUUAAGGGGAUGGGUUAGCGCAAGCGAAGCUUUGAACCGAAGCCCCAGUAAACGGCGGCCGUAACUAUAACGGUCCUAAGGUAGCGAAAUUCCUUGUCGGGUAAGUUCCGACCCGCACGAAAGGCGUAACGACUUGGGCGCUGUCUCGGCAAGAGACCCGGUGAAAUCAUAAUACCUGUGAAGAUGCAGGUUACCCGCGACAAGACGGAAAGACCCCAUGGAGCUUUACUGUAGCCUGGUAUUGAAACUUUGUGCAUCAUGUACAGAAUAGGUGGGAAGCUGUGAAGCGAGGGCGCCAGCCUUCGUGGAGCUGUCGUUGGGAUACCACCCUUGAUGUACGGAGUUUCUAACUUGCCGCCCUUAUCGGGUGGAAGGACCAUGCCAGGUGGGCAGUUUGACUGGGGCGGUCGCCUCCUAAAGAGUAACGGAGGCGCCCAAAGGUUCCCUCAGAAUGGUCGGAAAUCAUUCGUAGAGUGUAAAGGCACAAGGGAGCUUGACUGCGAGACCUACAAGUCGAGCAGGGACGAAAGUCGGGCUUAGUGAUCCGGUGGUUCCGCAUGGAAGGGCCAUCGCUCAACGGAUAAAAGCUACCCUGGGGAUAACAGGCUUAUCUCCCCCAAGAGUCCACAUCGACGGGGAGGUUUGGCACCUCGAUGUCGGCUCAUCGCAUCCUGGGGCUGAAGUAGGUCCCAAGGGUUGGGCUGUUCGCCCAUUAAAGCGGUACGCGAGCUGGGUUCAGAACGUCGUGAGACAGUUCGGUCCCUAUCUGUCGCGGGCGUAGGAAGUUUGAGGAGAGCUGUCCUUAGUACGAGAGGACCGGGAUGGACGCACCUCUGGUGCACCAGUUGUCACGCCAGUGGCACAGCUGGGUAGCUAUGUGCGGACGGGAUAAGCGCUGAAAGCAUCUAAGCGUGAAGCCCCCUUCAAGAUGAGACUUCCCAUAGCGCAAGCUAGUAAGACCCCUCAUAGACGAUGAGGUUGAUAGGUUCGGUGUGGAAGUGCAGUAAUGCAUGGAGCUGACGAAUACUAAUCGGUCGAGGACUUAUCCACA
rnacentral:rRNA from 1 species